rnacentral:piRNA from 1 species
UCAAGGUCUGAGGUUGCCACCUGA